UACGAAGGGGGCUAGCGUUGCUCGGAAUCACUGGGCGUAAAGCGCACGUAGGCGGCUUUUAAGUCAGGGGUGAAAUCCUGGAGCUCAACUCCAGAACUGCCUUUGAUACUGAAGAUCUUGAGUUCGGGAGAGGUGAGUGGAACUGCGAGUGUAGAGGUGAAAUUCGUAGAUAUUCGCAAGAACACCAGUGGCGAAGGCGGCUCACUGGCCCGAUACUGACGCUGAGGCACGAAAGCGUGGGAGCAACAGG
rnacentral:rRNA from 1 species